rnacentral:misc_RNA from 1 species
UGAGUAGCCUUCUUGGCUUAUAGGUGACAGAUGGCAGAGUUCUGAUCCUGAAUGAAGAUGCCUUGUUCAUUGAUUAGUAAUCAACAUGUACAUAUACUUUCAUGCAGAGACAGUGAUCUAAUUCUUAUUGAGCUUUAUGAAUCUAUGAAACAAUCAGCAUGAGUCAGAUUUGUAAAAGUUUAUCGAUCUUAAAUAUAUCUGUAUUGUAUCUGUAAUAUUCCUUAUUUACAGAAGAUUCCAUUAGUUUACUUUUUAAGCUUUAAAAUUAAGAUACAGUGUGUAUCCUUUGGGUCAAUAAUUUAUUCAUUUUGUUUAUGCAUUCACAGUUUUUAUCCAGCAAGCUGAUCUUCUUGAUAAACCAUGAUUUUCUGUUGAAUUUCAUCUUAGAGACUUGAUGACCAGUUUAGUUCAUUGGAAGU